GAUGAACGCUGGCGGCGUGCCUAAUACAUGCAAGUCGAGCGAACAGACGAGGAGCUUGCUCCUCUGAUGUUAGCGGCGGACGGGUGAGUAACACGUGGAUAAUCUACCUAUAAGACUGGGAUAACUUCGGGAAACCGGAGCUAAUACCGGAUAACAUGUUGAACCGCAUGGUUCAACAGUGAAAGACGGUCUUGCUGUCACUUAUAGAUGGAUCCGCGCCGCAUUAGCUAGUUGGUAAGGUAACGGCUUACCAAGGCAACGAUGCGUAGCCGACCUGAGAGGGUGAUCGGCCACACUGGAACUGAGACACGGUCCAGACUCCUACGGGAGGCAGCAGUAGGGAAUCUUCCGCAAUGGGCGAAAGCCUGACGGAGCAACGCCGCGUGAGUGAAGAAGGUCUUCGGAUCGUAAAACUCUGUUAUUAGGGAAGAACAAAUGUGUAAGUAACUAUGCACGUCUUGACGGUACCUAAUCAGAAAGCCACGGCUAACUACGUG
rnacentral:rRNA from 1 species